CUUUAAUUUUCAAAAAAAUAAAUAAUAAAUACAAAAAAAAUUCAAAAAAUUACAUUUUAGCCCCUAAACUUUCUCAAAAUUACAUUUUAGCCCCAUAUUUUCCUAAAAUUGCAUUUUUGCCCCAGAAACUUUGCACCCGUUACAAUUUGGUCCUUCUAGGCAUGACAAGACCGCCCCCAAUCUGCGUUCUUGCGUGCACCGCUUUCCGCGCCUGGCACCUCCAAUGCAUGGCCUCCCUUCUCCGCUGCCGCCUGGAAACAGAGAAGAAGGAGACAAAAUGGAAAGCUUAAAAAGAAAAAUUGAAGAGAAAAAGAAAUGGGGAUUCGGCAACGCAAAAAAAAAAAGCAAAAGAACAGCAAAAAAACAGAGAGCAGUAUGAAAACUACCAUUCGGCCUCCCCUCCACCAAAGUCAGACCAACCACCGUCAUACCUCCAUUCCACCGUCACCCCAACCUAAACCGAAACCCAAAUCUCUCCAAUACUCACCUUUGUUCACCCUCAUCAACCCAAAAAGUAACAACCAAAAACAAAACACAAAUCACCUUCUAAGAGGAGACGUCGAUGGAAAGGGCAUGGCCGAAUGACAAGAGAGCAGCGACGGUGACAGCAGCGACCAGAGCGACCUCGUGGGCGGUGAAAGGAGCUAGAGUCGAACAAAGAAUAAGAGAAGAAGAGAGGAAAGUAAAAAGAAGAAAAAAAGAAAGAACAAAAAUUGAAAGAAAAAUAGAAGAAAAAAAAAAGAAAGAAAGAAAAAAAAGGAAAAAAUAAAAAAUAAAAUAAAAUACAAGAGUCGGGCCAACCUGACCCGACGAUCCGGAUCCGACCCGAAUAGCAGACCCGACCCGUCCUGCCAGCAAGCCACACCAACAGAAACAGCAGGCUUGUCCAGAAAAAAAAAACAAAAAACAGCAGGCCUACAGCCCAAAAAAAAGCAGGCCCAGCAGCAGGCCACAACCCAACACCCCAGCAGCUCCAACAGGCCAGCUCCAGC
rnacentral:lncRNA from 1 species